CCAGCCUGCCCAGUGACAAAGUUUAACGGCCGCGGUACCCUAACCGUGCGAAGGUAGCAUAAUCACUUGUUCUUUAAAUAGGGACUCGUAUCAACGGCAUCACGAGGGCUAUACUGUCUCCUUUCUCCAAUCAGUGAAACUGAUCUUCCCGUGAAGAAGCGGGAAUUAUUGUAUAAGACGAGAAGACCCCAUGGAGCUUUAAACUCAAUAUGUACCUCUACGCAUUUAUAUCACUAUAGCCUAAGAAAAUUAUAUAUUAGUUUUGGGUUGGGGGGACCGCGGAGAAAAAAUUAACCUCCACGACAAAUAGGCCAACGCCUUUAUCUAUGAACCACAAUUCUAAGAAUCAAUAAACUGAUGUUUAAUGAUCCAAUUUUUUGAUCAACGAACCAAGUUACCCUGGGGAUAACAGCGCAAUCUACUUCAAGAGCUCCUAUCGACAAGUGGGUUUACGACCUCGAUGUUGGAUCAGGGUAUCCUAGUGGUGCAGCCGCUACUAAAGGUUCGUUUGUUCAACGAUUAAAACCCUACGUGAUCU
rnacentral:rRNA from 1 species